AUUGGUAUAACAUUAAUAUUGAUAAUUGAUAAAUAAAUAAAUAUUCUUGAGCUAUACAAAUUAUCCCAACAAAUUAAUUUCAUGGUGGGUCAUGGGAUAAAUUUUCUUAAGUUUAUAGGAUUAUUCCGUAGAUCCAAUCAAAGCUGUGUAUGCACCAAACAUAGGAUAGGAUAAAUAAUAGUUUUCUUAAGUUCAUAGAAUUAGUCUAAUACCAAACUUAUUAUCUUGCCACCAAGUGCACACUUAGAUUAAAUUUGAACCUUACUUUUUGUCUUCAAAUACUUGUAAUCCCUUACAUACAUUGUGCUUGAAAUUUUUCGAUUCAAAUUUAGAACUUUUUUUUCGUUUUUGGUUGAAGUACAAAUUAAAAAGGAUCAUUAAUACUUAAUGCUUUGUCUACUGAUUAUUGCUAAUCCCCUAUCAAUCUUUUGGCCUUUUGAGUCAGGAAGCACUAGCAAUUGCCCUUAGAAAAUUUGCAUUAUUAAAGCUACUUUGGCAUAAAUAAAAAUAGUUCAAAUCGAUCCACAAAGCUAUCGUGUGGAAUAUCUGCCCUAAAAGUGGGGAGUGUGUAGACAUUUUUUGUGGCCACGCUUGGUUCAUUAAAGAAGCUGACUCCUUCCCUGUUGAAGUGCUACUUGACGCAUUAAAAGCUCUAUAGUUGUGUACAUCAGAGUGGUAUAUAUUCCGAGUAAGUAAGAUAACUUUAAUUAUAUUCUUUAGCUGAUAGAGUAUUUUUCCAAAUCAUCAUGUAUGGUGAGGUUCAUUUCUACAAUUCCACCCAUUGGGGUUUGGCUAACUAUUUUAGUCAUUAAUACAAGCAUUCAAUUUAACAUUUUAAAGUCAGCAUUCUGAUAGUUAGAUUGCCAACAAGUCUAGUAGUGUUUAUUAUUUGUUUUUUUUUUCUCCUUCUAACAUUUGGAUGGAGAUGACCCAUUAAAUCAAAAUAGUAAACACCAACACCCACUUCCUGUUUAUACCAAAAAAGUCGUUCAGAUAAACACUCAAUAAUUUGUCUCUCCAAAUGACUUUCGCCCUUACUUGAAUGGAUACGACGAACGGUCCUUAAUGAAUGUUCCUUGACAGAGCGGUCCCUAAAAAGAAUGAACAAAGUCGAUGAGCCUCUGAUCGGAGCCCCAUGAUAGUCCUCCCACUUUCAAGUGAGCUGGGUCGUCCCAAUAUAAUUAUAUAUUAUAAAAAUGAUAUUUUACACCAAAAUUUUAAUAAUUGAAGACAAAAAAUUGCUCGCAUUAUAUUUCUCAUGCCACAAAAUAAAUCGUCAUACGUUAAUCAUAGGAAAUGUGUCAUAUUAGGUUCUAACGGUCAAAAUUAUUAUCAUCACGAAAAAUUGUAUGUUUUUUUGAGUAAACUAUUUGUCUUAAAUUUAGAUUAAACACAUCAUAAAUGUAAUUUAAAAUGGUCAAGUUAGAUGUUUAAAAAUAAAAUUAGUGACACUAUAUUUUCGUUACUGUAGGUGAUUUAUAAUGACUAAAAUGUUUGUCUCAAGGGUAAGUAAAAUAAGUCGCAAAUGAUAUUUAGCACAUACACUUUUGGCGGCUCCGAAUUACAAUAUGAUUGUUGUUAAUUAUGUU
rnacentral:lncRNA from 1 species